rnacentral:lncRNA from 1 species
CUGGGUAUUUGAACAACUCAAUCCUUGUCAAAGUCGUUUAUUCUGCUGCGAUCUAUGGGCCAUAUGGGGAGAUCGAAACAGAAGAAUACACGAAGGAAAAGUUAGCAACGGCAAAGAAACUGCAAAUUUCAUCAACAAUUACAUUACUGAGUUAACUCACUUUGAAAGAAGGAAAUCGAAAAAAAUCACAGGAAAGCAAAGAUGGCAGCAUCCACAUCGUGAGUUUAUAACAAUAAAUUUUGAUGGAGCAUAUCAUGAAAGUCAGUAUUGCUCAGCCAUAGGUAUUGUGGCCAGUGAUGCCGAAGGAAGUGUUUUGUUAUCCUAUUCAGAGUUACAGAAAGACAUUACCUCUGCAUUUGCCGCUGAAGCAAUAGCUUGUUGGAGAGCAGUCUAAAUCAGAGUCGAUCGGGGAUGGCAAUCAAUCAUUUUUUAGGGAGAUUCCCUCGCAAUAAUUAAAAAAUGCAAUACCACAGGUCAAGAUCGAUCAAUGAUAGGGGUUUAUAUUCAUGAUAUCCAACAGGAAAUCAGUAAGUUUAAUAAAGUCAGAUUUCAGCACACACCAAGAUCUGCAAAUAAUCUCGCACACAUUCUUGCAACGAAAACCCUAAAGAGGAAAGAGGAGAUUUACCUUGAAAUGGAGGUCCCUGAGUAUGCAAAGAAGCAGAGAAGAUAUGACUGGUUGCGUGAACCAGACUAGAAAAUGACAGAAGAUGAGGGAAGAAAGGAAGAAAUGCUUCAAAACUAAAGAAAGUGAAACGGUUCAAAAGAAGCUUUGCCAGAGAAAUCGUCGAAAUGGAAAUGAAAUGAUGGGAAGACGAAAUGACAGAUUUCAGCAAAUUUUGAUUGGGCAUUUAGUCGGUGCUUUUAU